AGAGUUUGAUCCUGGCUCAGAGUGAACGCUGGCGGCGUGCUUAACACAUGCAAGUCGAACGGAUGAAAUAAGCUUGCUUAUUUCGUUAGUGGCGCACGGGUGAGUAAUGUAUAGCUAACCUGCCCUUUAGUGGGGGACAACAGUUGGAAACGACUGCUAAUACCCCAUAUUCCUUCUUAUCAUAAGGUAAGUUGGGAAAGAUUUAUUGCUAAAGGAUGGGGCUUUAUGGUAUCAGCUAGUUGGUGGGGUAACGGCCUACCAAGGCUAUGACGCCUACCUGGUCUGAGAGGAUGAUCAGGCACACUGGAACUGAGACACGGUCCAGACUCCUACGGGAGGCAGCAGUGGGGAAUAUUGCACAAUGGAGGAAACUCUGAUGCAGCAACGCCGCGUGGAGGAUGACGCAUUUCGGUGUGUAAACUCCUUUUAUAAGGGAAGAUAAUGACGGUACCUAUG
rnacentral:rRNA from 1 species